rnacentral:rRNA from 1 species
UCCAGACUCCUACGGGAGGCAGCAGUGAGGAAUAUUGGUCAAUGGGCUUACGCCUGAACCAGCCAAGUCGCGUGAGGGAAGACUGCCCUAUGGGUUGUAAACCUCUUUUGUCAGGGAGCAACGCCGGCUACGUGUAGCCGGACUGAGAGUACCUGAAGAAAAAGCAUCGGCUAACUCCGUGCCAGCAGCCGCGGUAAUACGGAGGAUGCGAGCGUUAUUCGGAUUUAUUGGGUUUAAAGGGUGCGUAGGCGGACUGGAAAGUCAGCGGUAAAAUCGGGAGGCUCAACCUCUUUCCGCCGUUGAAACUGUCGGUCUUGAGUGGGCGAGAAGUAUGCGGAAUGCGUGGUGUAGCGGUGAAAUGCAUAGAUAUCACGCAGAACUCCGAUUGCGAAGGCAGCAUACCGGCGCCCGACUGACGCUCAUGCACGAAAGCGUGGGUAUCGAACAGGAUUAGAUACCCUAGUA